CCUCUCGUAGCUCAGUGGACAGAGCGCCGGUUUCCGAAGCCGGGCCAUGCGCAGGUUCGAUUCCUGCCGAGAGGA
rnacentral:tRNA from 1 species